rnacentral:rRNA from 1 species
GGAUGAGUCCGCGUACCAUUAGCUAGUUGGUAGGGUAAUGGCCUACCAAGGCGACGAUGGUUAGCUGGUCUGAGAGGAUGAUCAGCCACACUGGAACUGAGAUACGGUCCAGACUCCUACGGGAGGCAGCAGUGAGGAAUCUUGCGCAAUGGGGGCAACCCUGACGCAGCAAUGCCGCGUGAGUGAGGAAGGUCUUCGGAUCGUAAAGCUCUGUCAGUUGGGAAGAAAUGGCUGGAGGUCAAUACCCUUCGGUCUUGACGGUACCAACAGAGGAAGCACCGGCUAACUCCGUGCCAGCAGCCGCGGUAAUACGGGGGGUGCAAGCGUUGUUCGGAAUUAUUGGGCGUAAAGAGCGUGUAGGCGGCCUGAUAUGUCAGAUGUGAAAGCCCUGGGCUUAACCCAGGAAGUGCAUUUGAAACUGUCAGGCUCGAGUAGGGGAGAGGGAAGUGGAAUUCCUGGUGUAGAGGUGAAAUUCGUAGAUAUCAGGAGGAACACCGGUGGCGAAGGCGACUUCCUGGCCCUAUACUGACGCUGAGACGCGAGAGCGUGGGUAGCAAACAGGAUUAGAUACCCUGGUAGUCCACGCCGUAAACGAUGUUCACUAGGUGUUGGGGGUAUUGACCCCCUCAGUGCCGGAGCUAACGCAUUAA